GAGGACGGAAGGCGGGACGUUGCAGGCAGACGGCGUCCAGAGAUCUCCGGGCUUAAGAGGACGAGCGGAAACGCCUCCAGUUUUCAAAACAAAGAGGAGAAGCGGGAGGCGUGUGAGGCGCGCCGGGCUCAGAUUGGUCCCUCCCGCCCGGUCGCUUCAGCAUCAUUGGGUGACAAUGGAGGGGAGCCCGGGAAUCGGCGGGCGCUCGGGGUCUCCGAAGAUCCCGCCGGCCAUGGAGGAGCUGCAGAGCCGCUUGCAGGAGACCCUGGACCUUCUGUCCUCGCAGGAGCUGCGCAGCUUCCGCGACCACCUCAAGAAGGUGGAGCCGCGCGUGAGCCAGGUGAAGCUGGAGCUGGAGGGCCGCAGCCCGUCGGGGCUGGCCAGGCUCCUCGCCAAGCAGUACUACCCACCGGCCGCCGCCAAGCGCGUCCUCGUCCAGGUGCUGGAGCAGCUGCCCCGCGCUGACCUGCUGCCGCGCUGGCAGAGCGCCGCCGCUGACGGCCCGGUGAUUCCACGAAAGAUUCCAAAGAGAAGCUAUGACUGUGUGGAAGGUGAAUUGGACCGUUAUGACCUGAGUGGCAGGCGGAAGGCCUUCCUCAUGUGUGUGACGAGAGACAGGCUGGGCGCUCACCAGGAUGUCCUACUGAUGCAGGACUGGCUUGGCCAGUGCCAGUUCGAAAAUACGUUGUGCAUCGAUCCCGACAAAAUGGAGUUACUUGGAAAGAUAACAUCAUUUCGAGAUGGACUAAAUGAAAUUAAAGAUGACAUUGGCUGUUGCCUUGUUGCUCUUAUGUCCCACGGAGAAGAAGGCUUUAUCAAAAUGACAGAUGGUGAAAAAGUCAGCCUGGAAGGCAUUUUUGAAAUGUUUAACAAUAAAAAUUGUCCAGCACUUCAAGAGAAACCAAAAAUCUUUAUAAUCCAGGCCUGCAGAGGAGAGAGAAGAGACAGUGGUGUUGAAACGGAUGAUGAACCCAUGGACUCGGAUGAUGGAUCAGAGAAGAAGAGGCUGCCUACAUUCAGUGAUUAUUUCAUCAUCUAUCCCACCCAGGCAGAUAUGUGUUUCGCAUCUCUUCUUCUCCUGGUUCCCUGUGAAAUGUUACAAAUCAUGUGGCUUUACGGGACCCCCGCACCGGCUCUGUGAUGAUCAAAGCAAUGACCGAAGUCUUUAAACAGUAUGGAAAUAAGUGGCACAUUGCUGACUUCUUCACCAAAGUGAAUAACAGAGUGGUGCACCGUGAAUUUAAUCUUCGUAAUGAACCAAUAAAAGUAUCACUUGUAAUGGAGUCAACUUUAACUAAAUUUGUAUACUUUUGACAUCAGGAAGAUUAAAAAAACAAGGACUGCUUUACAGUAGAGUUUGAAAAGAGCUGUGAGCAUUUAUAGCAUUGUACUAAUGGUUACCAUUUUGCAUUAUUUUUGUCAUUGGUUGUAUUUGUCCAAUUUGUUUUGUGUAUAUAUAUAUAUAUAUAUACAUAUAUAUUAUUUUUCUAAGAUUUAACUAUGCUUACUUGAUACUUGUAAAUAAUUUGACUUUUUUUUUUUUUUAAAGAUCACUGUUUUCUGAAAAAAACGUUUUCCUGAACCGUUACCAAAACAUGGACGUCCAGCUCCAUUUGUGUACUGUUUUUAUCCUGUGUUUCUCUUGGUGAUUACACCCUACCUUCUCCACUGUCAGCUUGAUGCUGGUGUUAAGCCUCAAUUUCUUGACUUAGUCAAGAAUUGCCUGUGUGUGGUCUUGUCCUCUGUUUCACCUUAUUUACCCAGAUUGUUGUCUGCAGUCAGUCUGAUCUCCUCUUUGACUCCGUAAGCCAUUCUCAAGUCUUACCUGGAUGUCUCUGUGCCCUUGAUGCCUUCAUGUGUUCCACGUUCCAUCCAUUUCCCCGCUUCCUCCUUGCUGCCUCAUACCUUUGAACUGCUGUUUUCUCCACCUGGAACCCUGUGUUCCACCCCACAUAAGUCCUCUCCAUCCUUUGGAGUUUGGUUCAAGCAUCACUUGCACAGGGAAGCUUUCCACAGCCCCUCAUGCUAGGUCAGCUUCUUCUAAGUGCUCAGAUACCCUCUGCUUCUCUUCUGUAGCAUUGAAAUGACUGUCUAGUGGCUGUUUAAUCUCUCUCUCCAGUUCAGUUGUAAGAUCCGAGAGGCAGAGGCUGUGUGUCUCAUUCAUGGCUGCAUCCUAGCUUCCAUCCGUGCAUUAGGACACAGAGAAGCCAUGCAAUGAGCAUUGAGUGAGUGACUGAUCCCUGUCUUUUAAUUAUUUUAUCCAUCCCCCAGACCUCUGUGCAUAUCUAGCCACUUGCUACUUAACCCCACACACGUGGAUGUCUCACGGCUACUUUAACUCAACAAGUUGGACGUUAACCUGAGUUUCCCCUAAAUCUCUUUAUAAAACCCAUCCCAUUGUUAAUAAUCCUUUGACUCCCCACUGCCUGCUGGAUAUACCCCAAAAUCCUGUAGGAGAGUAUUGCAAGUCUUUCUCCGUCAGGCUUAAUCUACACUACUCUUUUAUUGCCUGUUUGUCCUCGUAAUUCGCCCUCCCCUUAAUAAUCCUGUCUCACAGAAUCGGGCUUGUGGAUUAAUGACUGUGGAUAAACACUCUUGGAUAUGUUAUCAUAUCAGAGUUCAAUCUCUCCUUUCUGUCUGAAAUGCCCUUCAUUCUCACUGUGUGCUUCCUCUAUACUGAGUAUUCUUUAGGGUGCAACUUGGGUCCCCUCCCACUACAAAGCAAAGCUGUAUGUAGACUAGUAUUUUUAGAGUAACAAACUGUGGAUUGAGCAUGACUGAUGGGCCUGUACGAGGAUGCAGGUGUUUGGUGAGAAUGCUCUGAAGACUGAGAGCCAAACUGACUGAAGCAAUCCAGAAUCUCCAGGCCUGUCUCCAUUUCAGGGAUAAUUGUGACCAUUUUAGUUAAUGUGAUUUCUUAAGUAUAAAUACAUGUGAUUUAAUUUUUAAGCCUUUGAGUUCUGAUAUUUGAUAUAUAGCUUUGUUUUUGUAUAGAGCAUUAAAAUGUCUCUGGUUCAUAAAAUAUGAACAUCAGGUGAGCCUUCUCUUUCACUUGGAUUCUGGAGGAUUUCUAGGCACAGAGGCUCGUUUCGGUGGGACAGCAGCAGCUGAAAUAUCAACAACUCUUUAUUUCCUGGGAGAGGUUGAGUGACUUGGUCAGAGUCACAGCAUGUGGUGAAGCUGGGAUUCCAAACCAUGAACUAAUUCAAGACAUGAAGUGCCAAGUGAUAGAGAAAAGUUUUAAGACAGAAUGCUUUUGAUGGACAGAAGGGACCAUUCCAUUACCACUUCACUGAUGGAAUGAGGGCUUUGGGACAAAGGAGGGAAAAGUGAUUUUGGAACCCUGCUCAGACCACUACAGGUAAGGGUCACGGAGAAAACUGUAGGACAACUGCACACCAGACAAACAGAUGAAGAGGAGCAAGGAAGAAUUCUGGUUAGAAAGGUAGGUGGCCCAAGAUGAACUUGAUGCCUGGGGCUAGCUAACUGCCCCAUAUUCUCUCAGCUUCAAAUCAGUAGAGACUGUCCUAGCCAUCCAAUGCCAUGUGAAAUAUAGCCCAAAAAAGUAGUCUCUGGCACAAUUUUAUAUUUGAAAAAAAAUUUUAAGCCCAGUUUAUUUAUUUUUUAAAUACAGACCCCAGGAACCAAAGUUUGCAAAAGGAAGGCUCUGAGAUUUUUAUUAAAAAUGUGUAUGAAUAAAAAGUAGUGGAGAAACUUGUGCAGAAGACUAGGAGGCUGAGGUGGGGAGAAGAACACGUGGCUGGGGAGCUACAGCCGUUUGACAAGUGCCUCUUAGGCCAAGGGCGCCUCACCAUGGCUUAUUAUCACUACAGUACAUUUUCACCUUUGGAGUUAACUCACUUCCUUGCCGAAUAUUUUCAUCAUGCAGAUCACGUCUCAAGGACAAAGUUAUUUUGCAGGAAAAAAAAUAUUUUGUGGAGAAACCCUAAAUUUAAUUACAGUACCAUUUCCUAGUUGUCAUAAUGGAAGUAUUCUGGAGAUUCUAUGGUGCACAGGGGAGGGAGCUGCUGAGAUAGUUUGGGAGUGCCCCCCAGAAUGCCCUCCAGAGAAGUCCUGCAGUGAUAGAGCACUGUCCCUAAAAGCCAGCCAUUCCUUUUAAGUCUUCCUUUUUUUUUUUUU